rnacentral:rRNA from 1 species
AGCGAACGCUAGCGGCGGGCCUAACACAUGCAAGUCGAGCGGAGAACUUCGGUUCUUAGCGGCGGACGGGUGAGUAACGCGUAGGUAAUGUGCCUUCUGGUGGGGAACAACCGUGCGAAAGCAUGGCUAAUACCGCAUAUGUCGAGAGAUGAAAGCCUUCGGGCGCCAGUAGAGCAGCCUGCGUCCCAUUAUUUAGUCCUAGUUGGUGAGGUAACGGCUCACCAAGGGUACGAUGGGUAGCUGGUCUGAGAGGAUGAUCAGCCACACUGGAACUGAGACACGGUCCAGACUCCUACGGAGGCAGCAGUGGGGAAUAUUGCGCAAUGGGGGAAACCCUGACGCAGCCACGCCGCGUGAGUGAUGAAGGCCU